GGGUGUGAUCAUACCAGCACUAAUGCACCGGAUCCGAUCAGAACUCCGCAGUUAAGCGUGCUUGGGCGAGAGUAGUGCUAGGAUGGGUGACCUCCUGGGAAAUCCUCGUGUUGCACCCCUUU
rnacentral:rRNA from 1 species